CGAGCGGCGAACGGGUGAGUAACGCGUGGAUAACCUGCCCUGAGUGGGGGAUAACCAAGGGAAACUUUGGCUAAUACCGCAUGACACCGAGAGGUCAAAGGGGGCUCGCAAGGGCUCUCGCCAUAGGAGGGGUCCGCGUCCGAUUAGCUAGUUGGUAGGGUAAUGGCCUACCAAGGCGACGAUCGGUAGCCGGCCUGAGAGGGUGAUCGGCCACACUGGAACUGAGACACGGUCCAG
rnacentral:rRNA from 1 species